rnacentral:rRNA from 1 species
UCAAGCGAUAGGUAAGGGCAUUUGGUGAAUGCCUUGGCAAUCAGAGGCGAAGAAGGACGUGGUACACUGCGAAAAGUUACGGGGAGUUGUGAACAAGCAUUGAUCCGUAAAUAUCCGAAUGGGGAAACCCACAGAGCAAUCUGUACUGUAUGAUGAAUAAAUAGUCAUGCAGGGCGAACGCAGGGAACUGAAACAUCUAAGUACCUGUAGGAAAGGAAAUCAACCGAGACUCCGAAAGUAGUGGCGAGCGAAAUCGGACCAGCCGAUGGAUAGUCAGUAAAGAAUCAGAAUUACCUGGAAAGGUAAGCCGGAGAGGGUGACAGCCCCGUACGAGUAGAAAAGCUGACUGUUCUUGAGUAAGGCGGAGCACGAGAAAUUCUGUCUGAAAAUGGGGAGACCACUCUCCAAGGCUAAGUACUACUGAUUGACCGAUAGUGAACAAGUACCGUGAGGGAAAGGUGAAAAGCACCCCUAUAAGGGGAGUGAAAGAGAACCUGAAACCGGAUGCCUACAAGCAGUCGGAGGGUCUAUAAGGCCUGACGGCGUACCUUUUGUAUAAUGGGUCAGCGACUUAAUUUAUGUAGCAAGCUUAAGCCGAUAGGUGUAGGCGUAGAGAAAUCGAGUGUUAACAGCGCGUUAAGUUACAUGAAUUAGACCCGAAACCGAGUGAUCUAGCCAUGAUCAGGUUGAAGGUUGGGUAACACCAACUGGAGGACCGAACCCACUCCCGUUGAAAAGGUAGGGGAUGAAUUGUGGCUAGGGGUGAAAGGCCAAUCAAACUCGGAAAUAGCUGGUUCUCCGCGAAAACUAUUUAGGUAGUGCGGUGAGCGGACACCUUGAGGGGUAGAGCACUGGAAGAGCUAAGGGGGAGCGAUCCUUACUAAACUUUACCAAACUCCGAAUACUCAAGAGUGAUACUCACCAGACAGACAUUAGGUGCUAAGGUCUAGUGUCGAGAGGGAAAGAGCCCAGACCGCCAAUUAAGGUCCCAAAAUUAUGGCUAAGUGGUAAAGGAAGUGAAACGUCCAAAACAGUCAGGAGGUUGGCUUAGAAGCAGCCAUCCUUUAAAGAAAGCGUAAUAGCUCACUGAUCUAAACAAGACGUCUUGCGCCGAAGAUGUAACGGGGCUAAAGCCAUAUACCGAAGUUGCGGAUUUACACGUUAAAGUGUAAGUGGUAGCGGAGCGUUCUGUAAGCCUGCGAAGGUGUACCGUAAGGUAUGCUGGAGGUAUCAGAAGUGAGAAUGCUGACAUGAGUAGCGAAAAGAAGAGUGAGAGACUCUUCCGCUGAAAGUCCAAGGUUUCCUGCGUAAAGCUAAUCUGCGCAGGGUUAGUCGGUCCCUAAGGCGAGGCAGAGAUGCGUAGUCGAUGGCAAUCAGGUUAAUAUUCCUGAACCGGCCCGGAAGUGACGGAUUGAGUAAAUUGUAAGUUCUUAUUGGAUUGAGCUUGCAGUGAAUCAGUCCCAGGAAAUAGCCCGGGCUAAGACCGUACCCGAAACCGACACAGGUGGACAGGUAGAGAAUACCAAAGCGCUUGAGAGAACUAUGUUGAAGGAACUAGGCAAAAUACUUGCGUAACUUCGGGAUAAGCAAGCCCCAUUUUAAGGCAACUUAGGGUGGGGGGCACAUACUAGGGGGUAGCGACUGUUUACUAAAAACACAGGGCUCUGCUAAAUUGAAAGAUGAAGUAUAGGGUCUGACGCCUGCCCGGUGCUGGAAGGUUAAGGAGAGAUGUGCAAGCAUUGAACUGAAGCCCCAGUAAACGGCGGCCGUAACUAUAACGGUCCUAAGGUAGCGAAAUUCCUUGUCGGGU